rnacentral:rRNA from 1 species
ACCCGCUGAACUUAAGCAUAUCAAUAAGCGGAGGAAAAGAAACCAACAGGGAUUGCCCUAGUAACGGCGAGUGAAGCGGCAUCAGCUCAAAUUUGAAAUCUGGCUCUUUUAGGGUCCGAGUUGUAAUUUGCAGAGGGCGCUUUGGCAUAGGCAGCGAUUCAAGUUCCUUGGAACAGGACGUCACAGAGGGUGAGAAUCCCGUACGUGGUCGCUAGCUCUUGCCGUGUAAAGCCCCUUCGACGAGUCGAGUUGUUUGGGAAUGCAGCUCUAAAUGGGAGGUAAAUUUCUUCUAAAGCUAAAUAUUGGCCAGAGACCGAUAGCGCACAAGUAGAAUGAUCGAAAGAUGAAAAGUACUUUGGAAAGAGAGUCAAAAAGCACGUGAAAUUGUUGAAAGGGAAGCGCUUGCAGCCAGACUUGCCUGUAGUUGCUCAUCCGGGCUCUUGCCCGGUGCACUCUUCUGUAGGCAGGCCAGCAUCAGUUUGGGCGGUUGGAUAAAGGUCUCUGUCAUGUACCUCUCUUCGGGGAGGCCUUAUAGGGGAGGCGACAUACAACCAGCCUGGACUGAGGUCCGCGCAUUCGUGCUAGGAUGCUGGCGUAAUGGCUGU